GACGAACCGUACGAACGUUAUUCGGAUUUACUGGGCUUAAAGGGUGCGUAGGCGGCGCGGAAAGUUGGGUGUGAAAUCCCUCGGCUUAACCGAGGAACUGCGCUCAAAACUACCGUGCUCGAGGGAGACAGAGGUGAGCGGAACUUAGGGUGGAGCGGUGAAAUGCGUUGAUAUCCUAAGGAACACCAGUGGCGAAAGCGGCUCACUGGGUCUCUUCUGACGCUGAUGCACGAAAGCUAGGGUAGCGAACGGG
rnacentral:rRNA from 1 species